UUGCAGUGAUUUUUCAACUUAUUGGACUUUUUGAAAACUUGGUCUUAAUUGCUCUAUGUUCUUCUCUUGGAAAACAUCUAUCCGCAUGUUUUACAGUCUUGCAACUAAAGUAGUCAUCUGCCUUUGUGAUUUUAAUAGUGAAUCGCUAAUCUAGUUUCGUAAGAACCCAAGGAGAUGCCCUCUUUAGUUCUGAUACUUCGAUAUAGCUUUAAAUUUAGUUUUUGAAGUUUUUCAUUUUUAUUUUCCUACAGCCUGGAGAAAGAAAUUUUAGACCGUUAUCUUGAAGCUGUUCUGAAGGGAAAGAAGGAUGGGUUGAAGAAACUACGGUUGCGGAUAGAGGAUCCACCGCGAAGAAAGCAUAUGGUGUACCUUGGAGGAGCAGUCCUUGCAAGAAUUAUGAAGGAUGCACCGGAGUUUUGAAUUAGCAGAGAAGAUUACCUGGAAGAGGGAAUUAUAUGUCUAAGCAAGUGUGGCCAAGCAUGAAUUUUUGGCUAUGAGAGUGUUAGCAUUUAAGUCUUCCAAGAGUUGGGUGGCUAAUGUAGUGAUCUAUUUUUGUGAUAAUUCUAGCAAAAGUUUCGUUAUGCCAUACGUAUCGCCCAAAAAAAAAAUCUCACCAUGCCAUACCCCUAUUGCUAGGUAUAGGGAAAAAAUUAUGUGUUUUAAUGCUUCCUGCAUAUCUUUGUAUUGGUGGAGCAGAUGUCUAUCAUGUAUAUCAGUGUAACAAUUUUUGUACUUGAA